UAGCUACUUGCAUCAUUGUAAAAAUGAUGCAGGAUCGACUAUGUCGAAUAAAAUUCUAGGUAGAAUUUUGAUAAUGACAUUGUCUGCCUAUGUGUCUUGACCAAAUUACGUGCCAGCAGUCGCGGUAAUACGUAGAAGACUAGUGUUAUUCAUGUUUAAUCGGUUUAAAGGGUACCUAGACGGUAAAUCAAGCCUAAAAUUAAGUGAAGGGACUAAUUUACUAGAGUUACUUAUGAGGGGGUAUUAAAGUACUGCUGGUGUAGAGAUGAAAUUCUGUCAUACCUCUUUUCAAUAGAAAAAUAACGGCACAGGUAUAGGCGAAAGCAUCCCCUUAUGUGAUAACUGACGUUGAGGGACGAAGGCUUUGUGUAGCGAACAGGAUUAGAUACCCCAGUAGUCAAAGCAGAAAAUGAUGAAUGUCAUAGAUUAGAUAAAUAAGUUUAUUCUAUAAAUGAAAGUGUAAGCAUUCCACCUCAAGAGUAAUUUGGCAACAUUGGAACUGAAAUCAUUAGACCGUUUCUGAAACCAGUAGUGAAGUAUGUUGUUUAAUUUGAUGAUCCGCAAAAAACCUUACCACAAUUUGAAUAUUUAUAUCUUUUAUUGUUUUUUUUUUAUUUUUCUUCUGAUUUUCAUUGNAUGAUUUUCUUCUUAUUCUAUAUGCAUGCACAUGCACAUGCAAAAGAAUAAGAAAAAAAA
rnacentral:rRNA from 1 species